GUCGCAACAGAAGCACUUUCCGUCGCGGCCCUUUAAAAUGUCAGCUUCGCAUCGGUGGUGUACACUGUACUUUUUUUCUUGCGCGGUAUUCAAUCGUGCUUCUUUGGAGCCGGCAGUACUGAUAGCACCGACACCGGCAUUAAAGUCGACGUUGCCAAUUGUUAUAAUUGUGCCGUGACGACGCGGCACCAGCAACGCCCUACCGGCCUCCUCAAUAUCGGCCGCUGAUCAAAAUCAUACCAUCUGCGGGAAUGGCUGCGUAUCCGCUUUGUUUUAUUUGGUAAGAUGGGGCACACAGGCCUGUGGACUUACAUGUGCGGUUACACUGACACAUUAGUUAAUUUCCCAGAAAUAUUGCACAAGCAUAUGCGAACCGGGAAAGAAGUUUUGGAUUGUUCCACAAAGUUGCGUGAAAAGCUGUCUCGCUCGGGUCUCAUUAAUCUGGUACAGCGCUGCCGUGAGAAGCCAGUAUUCUGUCGAGAUGAAGACUCACCCACGAGUGUUUAUGUAGCUAUAUUGUAUUGAACACACGAAUUAUAUGCGAGCUCAAAAGUGUAAAGAGCAAGAGACAACUGUCGAAAUUAGCAGUAACAACCCUCAGUGUCCCCGGUCACCGUUGUCUGUUUCUGAAUUUCGUAUGAAAUAUGGAUAUCGUUACAGCAAAAUCGAUGGUCUAGCACUCCACGAUGUACCUGUCGAUGGUAACAACACUUUUGCUCAUCUAGAGAUGCGGCAGUUGACGCGGUGAAGUGAAAGCGCAUCGUGGCUUUUAAAAUGCAAAUGUAAACAGCAACCCAGACAGCAAUUUACACUCUUGACAUAGCUUCAACAUACGCCAGCAGUGAUGUUCGGCGUGGUGCAGUGGUAAGAUGCUUGUCUCGGAACCGUCAGGUCUAAAGGUCGAAUCCUAGGCAUAAGGCAUCAUUUUUUUCUACUCUUAUUUUUUUAUUUUAUUUCGUAUUAAUAAUUUUACAUAACCUUAAAAUGACCUCUGUCAAUUCUUAAUCAAAUAUUGAUCAGGAACUACAGAAUUUUCGACUACAGGGCGUCACACUACAGAGAACAGAACGACAGUCACAACGUCCCAAAAUACGACAGACUGAAAAUUUGCUGUUGUGUUAUUCAAGUGGGUGAGACGUCUAUACGGCGUAUACGCAGAUUGCUGUCCUCUCUAUUAAAAGCAACGUUGCUGAAACACGUCGUACAAGACGCUGUACGACUCGCAUAACAUCGAAAUACAACGCCGUCACCAUCCAUGAGAUCACCGAAAGCACGGUCGCUUUCGGUGGCGGCCUACAGAUGGCAGCACAGGUAGCGCCGGUAAAGUUACAGCUGAUAUUAUUUUGCCGUCCUCAGUUGUCGCCACAUGUGAGUGCUUGCUGCAUUGACGCCGUCCGAUGUAGUUGUUUAAUCGUGUGUACGCUGUGCCGAGAGAAAUUGUGGUGCAUUUUGUAUGCAUUGAGAAUCACAAAACCCCUGGGACCGCGUAAUGUAGCCCGCAGUAUCCUUCGUGUGGUGCGCCGAUGUCGAAGAUAUGACUCUUCGCGCUUCCUUUGUUCCGGGCUCAUGAACAGGAUCUCCUCUUCUGGCACUGUCGCAUCGUAUCGCGCUGUACGGAAGAAUUUGGUGAAAGUUGUGCUCUUACGUCCUGUAGUUGAUCCGCAAUUGAACAGUGUGUGCGCCGGAAGGACCGUUGGUGCAGUCGAUGCCGCGGCACCUGUGACGCUAAAAGGAGCGUUUUCCGAGUACGCCUAGAAAGGGAUGGCAAGAUUUUGUGAACCAGAGGCACCUCCACAUAUGCACCUGCGGCUCUUCUGCAGCCUCAACAGCACGGAAAAGUACCUGAUGUGCAUGCUGUGACAAGCUGCUGUAGGUAUGGCUGGACCUGGAGAAGUGUAAGCAGACCAUGCUAUGUUGCUGAUCUGCGCUGAUCUCCACAUCCAAGUUGGUCCUGCGACAGUUGGGCACCAUUGUGCCUUGCUUCAUUGACAAGGUGAUAUAAUAUGGUGCCCUGCUCGCUCUCACCCAAGCAACCCACUCCAGCGGUCUUCUCUCGGCAGACUGGAUGCAUCGAAAUACCGUUAGAAGGUCCAAUAAACAGUGCUUGGGACAUUUA